GUCAUUGUGAUGUCUGCAUGUUUUAUGCUUGUAGUGAUGUCUCUGGUACUUUGUGGUCCUUGCAACAUUUCACUCACAUAGUCCCCCUUAGGAUCUCUUGUAGGGCUGG